rnacentral:lncRNA from 1 species
GGGUGUUUCUGUCUCUGCUCUCCUCCCAGCCCCUUGUCUGCCACCCCUUGUGCUUCUCUCCUUUCACCCAGAGCUCAUCUUCUGCCCUUCCCUCCAGGGCUUUGCUGGCGUGCAGGGGGGCAGAGGGCAUGCGGGACCUCCUGGACCGACGGGUCUGCCUGGGAAGCCUGGCGCGGAGGGGCCGCAGGGACCUGUCGGCAUGUAUGGCUACCCGGGACCAGCCGGUGACCGUGGGAGGCCAGGGCGCAGGGGAGACAAGGGUGAAACAGGAGCCCGAGGCCUGCCGGGAUUCCCUGGAAAAGCCGGUCCCAAGGCCCUGCCAGGCCCCCCGGGGCCACGAGGUGCUCCCGGCUCCCAGGGAAGAGCAGGAGAGCCGGGUCCUCGGGGGCUUCCAGGGCUGCCGGUGAGUGGGAGAGCUGCAGCUUGCAGGCUGGGGUUGCAGGCUGUGCCCUCCUGCACCCACAGGGACCUGGGGUGCCAUCAUGCUGGGGGUCUCCCCCAUCUCAUCACUCUCCUGGGGGGCGAGGGGCUGCCCGUGGGCUACACCUCGGGGUGCUCUAACAUCCUUCCGGCCCUGCAGGGAGCUCCCGGCGUGCGGGGGCUGGACGGUGUCCCCGGGAAGCCUGGUUUGGCUGGGGAAGCAGGAGCAGCCGGCAUGCCGGGGGCUGCUGGCCCCCCCGGGUACCCGGUAAGUGCCAACCUGGCUGCUGC